CUCCCAUUUUGGUGGCCUGAGAACACAUCAAUCACAGGCAUGUAGCUGUCGACAGCAACAACUGGAUACUGAGCAUCAAGCAGCAGGCGAGAAAUCUUGGGAUCUCUAAAGGGAGAGAAAUUGUGCACGAGUACUCAUGGACAGGAUCUAGGUCUUGCUAUCUGGAUCCAUCCACAGGAACUGUUAACAAAAGGUCUGGGCCCAGCAAGCGCACACCCACUAGACCAGUUUACCUGCUUAUCCCACCACGGAAAGAGAAGUAAGACAACACCUACACCUCAGUGGUGUGCUGAGAGGAUCAACUGAGGAUAUGAACUCAAGAGAUUUAAAGCAUGAGAAGGAUGUAAUGUUUCAUUGCUGUCUUGAAGAUGGAGAGGACCACGUGGCAAGAAAUGCAUGUGGCCUUACGGCCUUUAGGAACUGAGAGUGGACCCUGGCUGACCGCCAGCAAGGAAAUGGGACCGCAGUCCUACUACUGCAAGAACUGGAUUCUGUCAAUAAGAAUGAACUUGGAAGUGAAUUUUCCCUCAGAGCUUCCAGAUGAGAAUUUAGCUUGGCUGACACCUUGAUUGUAGCCUAUGAUACCCUAAGCAGAAAACCCAACCAUAACUUGCUGGACUUCAGAUCCACAGAACUGUGACUAAUAACUGGGUAUUCUUUUAAGCCAUUAAGUUUGUGGUUACUUGUUAUGCAGCAAUAGAAAACUAAUAUUCCCAUUAAUGCCACUACCCACAAAUACUGAUUAACAUUUUGAUAUAUUCUGGAUAGGUUUUUUGUGUGUGUGUGUGGCUACGCUGGGUCUUCGUUGCUGUGCACGGGCUUUCUCUAGUUGCAGCGAGCGGGGGCUACUCUUCGUUGUGGUGCACGGGCUUCUAAUUGUGGUGGCUUCUCUGUGUGGAACACAGGCUCUAGGUGUGCGGGCUUCAGUAGCUGUGGCUCGCAGGCUCUAGAGCGCAGGCUCAGUGGUUGUGGCGAACAGGCUUAACUGCUCCGCGGCACGUGGGAUCUUCCCGGACCAGGGCUUGGACCUGUGUCCCCUGCAUUGGCAGGCAGAUUCUUAACCACUGCGCCACCAGGGAAGUCCCCCGGAUAGUUUUUAAUCUAUGCAUACAUACAUCUAUAUAUGUAUGUGUGUGUGUAUAUAUAUAAAUUUUUUCUUUUGCAAAAAUGGUAUAUUAUGUAUACAGUUUUUUUGAAUUUUUAUUUUUUUAUACAGCAGGUUCUUUAUUAGUUAUCUAUUUUAUACAUAUUAGUGUAUACAUGUCAAUUCCAAUCGCCCAAUUCAUCACACCACCACCCCCACUUUCCCCCCUUCGUGUCCAUACGUUUGUUCUCUACAUCUGUGUCUCUACUUCUGCCUUGCAAACCAGUUCAUCUGUACCAUUUUUCUAGAUUCCACGUAUAUGCAUUAAUAUAUAUUUGUUUUUCUCUUUCUGACUUACCUCACUCUGUAUGACAGUCUCUAGGUCCCUCCACAUCUCUACAAAUGACCCAAUUAUGUAUACUGUUUUAUAACUGCUUUUUCACUUAAUAAUAUGAAUUAACUUUUUCUAUGUAAAUAAUGGCUAUAUAAGUAUGUAUUUUUGUUUUUACUUAUUUAAAAAAAAACCUCUUUGGGAUUCAGUCAGAAAAUGGCUGUCUUGUUUAUUCAGUGAGAAAGGGUGAGGAAAACAUGGUCUGCUAGCAUUGAAAAUUUGGUUAAGGAAGCUUGCUAUGUGACAGGAAGCCCUCCUCCUUUUAGUUUCUAGUUAAUACUUGGCUUAAUUUGAUAUGGUUUAAAGUUCUUUAAUGAGGUGGGCACACUCAAUAAAUGCUUUAUGAAUAAAGUAGUUAAUGACAAGCAGUGUCAAUAAUAAAUUUCAUUUGAUUUCAGGGCCAUGUAGAAAAACAGUUUUUCUACUGAUACCCAAAAUGUCCCUAGAGAUAUUUGGUACUUGGUACUUUAUAAUCUAACCACACACAACUAUAUUUAAUUCCUUAAACACAAUACUUCCUUUGUGCUCUCAAAGUUCUGCGUAUCUGACUCCAUCAAAGAAUUACCAUGCAGUAUUAAAAUUGUCUAUCUCACCCAAACAACUUUGAGACGAGAGAUUGGCUUUUGUUGGUCUUUGUAUGCUCGGUACCUAGUAUAUAUCAGGAAUUUGAUUAAAUGUUUCAAUAAAUACUUCCACUGUUGCAUAUAUCAUACAAAAUUGUACUGUAUCUGCUUUAGAGUCUGUUUCCUUUACUACAAUGCAUUCAUUAAGUCAGGGACUAUCUUAUUUAUCACUGUAACCCCAAUACUCAAAACAAUGGCUGACACAAAAUAGGCACUCAAAAGAUAUCUGCUGAAUUGAACUGAGCUUAAAGUUUUCAUCCCUGCUAAAUAAAAUUUCCCUGGGAAUAGUAAUAUUUUAAGAGUGACUUAAUUAGUCAUUAACAUUUGAAUAGGAAUAGGUACUUAAGAUACUUUACAAUAGCAGGUUUUUAAAAAGAAAUAAACAUUGCAGACAACAAGUAGGACAAAUCUGAGCAAGGGUGGUCUAUUCAUUGGCCUCCAAGUGGUUUCUUCCUUGAAACAGCCAUUCUUAGAAUAGUUUCUCUAAAGUCUAAGGCAUGGCAACAAUACCACCUUAACUCCCCUUAAGAGGAAGCUGGUUCCACACUAAAAGAGCUGUCAUGGCAUCUUCCUGCACCUCAACUCAAUAAUUAUUUUUUUAACACAAGGGAAGGGCACUUAGCUGAGUUCAUGACAAACGUUUCCCUUGUUUAUUUCCUACAUGCCAUGGGCACAGCCCCUGCUAAACAGGGAGGUACACAGCUUUUGGUUUUUGUUCCUACUCCUUGUUAUCUAUUCUAAACCCCAACUCUUAACAAAC